rnacentral:lncRNA from 1 species
AAAACAAAGAAAAAGAAAAAGAAAAACCUCAAAGACUCCAAAAUAAAAAUGGCCAAAAACAGGAACAGGUGAUUUUAAAGAAGAAUUAUAAAUGGCCAAUAAUUAUUUUUAAAAAGCCAUAAGAAAUGCAAACAAAACAACAUAAAAUGCCAUUUUCACCUAAUUAAAAAAAAAAUGCUCAAUAUUGGUCAGGUUUAUAGAUACAGAUGAGAAAGUAAAUUGAUCAAUUCUAUCUGAGAAUUCAUCUUAAAAGACAUUAGAAAAGUACACAGAUAUGAACUUUAAAGUUCUUUGCAGCCGGGCGCGGUGGCUCACGCCUGUAAUC